rnacentral:misc_RNA from 1 species
GAUGAAGAACGUAGUGAAAUGCGAUAAGUAAUGUGAAUUGCAGAAUUCAGUGAAUCAUCGAGUCUUUGAACGCACAUUGCGCCCCCUGGUAUUCCGGGGGGCAUGCCUGUCCGAGCGUCAUUGCUGCCCUCAAGCACGGCUUGUGUGUUGGGCCGUCGUCCCCCUCCUAGGGGACGGGCCCGAAAGGCAGCGGCGGCACCGCGUCCGGUCCUCGAGCGUAUGGGGCUUCGUCACCCGCUCCGUAGGCCCGGCCGGCGCUUGCCGACGACCAUCAAUCUCCUUCUCCAGGUUGACCUCGGAUCAGGUAGGGAUACCCGCUGAACUUAAGCAUAUCAAUAAGCGGAGGA